AUAUCAAUAAGCGGAGGAAAAGAAACCAACAGGGAUUGCCUCAGUAACGGCGAGUGAAGCGGCAAAAGCUCAAAUUUGAAAUCUAGCACCUUCGGUGUUCGAGUUGUAAUUUGAAGAUGGUAACCUUGGGUUUGGCUCUUGUCUAUGUUCCUUGGAACAGGACGUCAUAGAGGGUGAGAAUCCCGUCUGAUGAGAUGCCCAUUCCUAUGUAAGGUGCUAUCGAAGAGUCGAGUUGUUUGGGAAUGCAGCUCUAAGUGGGUGGUAAAUUCCAUCUAAAGCUAAAUAUUGGCGAGAGACCGAUAGCGAACAAGUACAGUGAUGGAAAGAUGAAAAGAACUUUGAAAAGAGAGUGAAAAAGUACGUGAAAUUGUUGAAAGGGAAGGGCAUUAGAUCAGACUUGGUGUUUUACGAUUAUCUUCUCUUCUUGAGUUGUGCACUCGUAUUUCACUGGGCCAGCAUCGAUUCGGAUGGCAAGAUAAUGGCAGUUGAAUGUGGCUUCACUUCGGUGGAGUGUUAUAGCUUCUGCUGAUAUUGCCUGUCUGGAUCGAGGGCUGCGUCUUUUGACUAGGAUGCUGGCGUAAUGAUCUAAUGCCGCCCGUCUUGA
rnacentral:rRNA from 1 species